rnacentral:rRNA from 1 species
CCUACGGGGGGCUGCAGUGAGGAAUAUUGGUCAAUGGGCGGAAGCCUGAACCAGCCAUGCCGCGUGCAGGAAGACGGCCCUACGGGUUGUAAACUGCUUUUCCGGGGGAAGAAUAAGGGCGACGUGUCGCCCGAUGCCGGUACCCCGGGAAUAAGGAUCGGCUAACUCCGUGCCAGCAGCCGCGGUAAUACGGAGGAUCCGGGCGUUAUCCGGAUUUACUGGGGUUAAAGGGUGCGCAGGAGGGAGCGGAGAAAUACGGGGGCUCAACCUUCGAACGGCCGGUGAUACUGGGCGCCUUGGAUUCGGUCGAGGCGGGCGGAAUGCGACAUGUAGCGGUGAAAUGCUUAGAUAUGUCGCAGAACGCCGAUUGCGAAGGCAGCUCGCCAGGCCGACAUUGACGCUGAGGCACGAAAGCGUGGGGAUCGAACAGGAUUAGAUACCCGGGUAGUC